GGGCCCGCACAAGCGGAGGAACAUGUGGUUUAAUUCGAUGAUACGCGAGGAACCUUACCCGGGCUCGAACGGCAAAUGAAUGAUCUGGAAACAGGCAGUCCUUCGGACAUUUGUCGAGGUGCUGCAUGGUUGUCGUCAGCUCGUGCCGUGAGGUGUCGGCUUAAGUGCCAUAACGAGCGCAACCCUUAUCGUCAGUUACCAUCAGGUUAUGCUGGGGACUCUGGCGAGACUGCCACCGUAAGGUGUGAGGAAGGUGGGGAUGACGUCAAAUCAGCACGGCCCUUACGUCCGGGGCGACACACGUGUUACAAUGGAUGGGACAGCGGGAAGCUACCGGGCGACCGGAUGCGGAUCUCGUAAACCCAUUCUCAGUUCGGAUCGGAGUCUGCAACUCGACUCCGUGAAGUUGGAUUCGCUAGUAAUCGCGCAUCAGCCAUGGCG
rnacentral:rRNA from 1 species